rnacentral:lncRNA from 1 species
ACUCACCGGACCUUGAGGCUUCAUCCCCUCCGGCCAUGCCUUGCCGUGGACGGAGCGGGUGGAGGCUCUCGGUUAUAGCCGGAUCCCGACCCAUCUCCGAGCCCUUCCCCUCUCCGGCAUCACUUCGGAGGGAGGAAGGGCUGGCCUUCCCUUCCGCCGGUGCACCGGGGGGAAACCCCCGCCUCGGUCGGUGGAUCGGGGGGAGCCUCGUCUCCCCGGUUGCCGCAGGAGAAGAAGGGGAGGAGAGUGGGUUUCGGAGGG